rnacentral:rRNA from 1 species
CCCGAAAGUCGAAUGGGGAGAUUCAACGUCCAGCGUAGACGGCUCCUUGCGUUUGGCGAUGUUGUGUGAUCUCGAUUGCACACGCCUACGCUCUGUGAUGUCCGUCAAACGUCGGUGUGCACUUCUCCCCUAGUAGAACGUCGCGACCCGCUGGGUGUCGGUUUAAGGACCACGAUGGCAGACUGUUUCGUUGCGUUUCGGCGUGACGUUGACAGACUCGUUGGUAUCCCGACCGGCUGCUCGGCGGUAUACGCACAAAGGUAUCUGGCCGCAUUCGAAUGCGUUCAUAAAGACUCGCCGCAAGCUCGAUCACUGUCAACUUGGAGUUACGGACCUGGUGCCGUACCCGGGGGUGUUAGGCUGUUGGCCGGCGAUGUUCUCGAACUGGCUAUUUGAUUACCUGUCAGCGACGCUAUUGCUUUGGGUACUUUCAGGACCCGUCUUGAAACACGGACCAAGGAGUCUAACAUGUACGCGAGUCAUUGGGGAUAAUAAAACCUAAAGGCGUAUUGAAAGAGAAGAUCGACUUUACGUCGAUUCAGGGAGGAUGGGUGACGUUUCAAAGCUUCACCUCGCCACUCCCGGGGCGUUUCAAUGUCAUUGCGACAUGGGGCGCACCAAGAGCGUACACGUUGGGACCCGAAAGAUGGUGAACUAUGCCUGGUCAGGAUGAAGUCAGGGGAAACCCUGAUGGAGGUCCGUAGCGAUUCUGACGUGCAAAUCGAUCGUCGGAACUGGGUAUAG